AUUGAACGCUGGCGGCAGGCCUAACACAUGCAAGUCGAGCGAGCGGCGGACGGGUGAGUAAUGUAUGGGGACUGCCCGAUCGAGGGGGAUAACUACUGUAAACGGUGGCUAAUACCGCAUACUGUCGGAUAACCCAUAUGGGAUUAGCUAGUAGGUAAGGUAAUGGCUUACCUAGGCGACGAUCCCUAGCUGGACUGAGAGGAUGAUCAGCGAAACUGGGACUGGGAAACGGCCCAGACUCCUACGGAGGCAGCAGUGGGGAAUAUUGCACAAUGGGCUCAAGCCUGAUGCAGCCAUGCCGAGUGUAUGACAAGGGCCCUAGGAUUGGAAAGUACUUUCGGUCGAAAGACGUUACCGACAGAAGAAGCACCGGCUAACUCCGUGCCAGCAGCCGCGGUAAUUC
rnacentral:rRNA from 1 species